GACGAACGCUGGCGGCGUGCUUAACACAUGCAAGUCGAACGGAAAGGCCUGCUUUCCCUCGUGGAUUGCGGGUACUCGAGUGGCGAACGGGUGAGUAACACGUGAGUGAUCUGCCCCCAACUUGGGUAUAAGCCUGGGAAACUGGGUCUAAUUCCCGAUAGGACUGCAGGGUGGUGCCUGUGGUGGAAAACGAUUUUCUAGUGGUUGGGGAUGAGCUCGCGGCCUAUCAGCUUGUUGGUGGGGUAAUGGCCUACCAAGGCGGCGACGGGUAGCCGGCCUGAGAGGGUGGACGGCCACAUUGGGACUGAGAUACGGCCCAGACUCCUACGGGAGGCAGCAGUGGGGAAUAUUGCACAAUGGGCGGAAGCCUGAUGCAGCGACGCCGCGUGGGGGAUGACGGCCUUCGGGUUGUAAACUCCUUUCGACCGCGAGGAAGCCACCUGGUUGGAAGGGUGGUGACGGUAGUGGUAGAAGAAGCACCGGCUAACUACGUG
rnacentral:rRNA from 1 species